CAUAACUAUAACAUACGCGGCACCGCUCACAUUAGUGGUGAUUAGCCACCCCACUCUUUUCCCUCUCUACCUCUUCCCUCCUAAUUCCCAAACCCAAAUCCCUUCUUUCUUUUCCACAAACCCCACCCACUCAAAAAUAACACUACUACUUCUUCACAUACAUACUAUUUAACACACACUAUAUAUAUUUAUAUAUAUAUAGAGAGAGAGAGAGGGAAAGGAAAGGGCAUGGAUUCGGAUCAGGGGAAGCUAUUCAUCGGAGGGAUUUCGUGGGACACCAAUGAGGACAAGUUGAAGGACCAUUUCUGCAACUAUGGUGACGUCACCAACGCCUCCGUCAUGAGGGACAAGAACACCGGCAAGCCCAGAGGCUUCGCCUUUGUUGAAUUCGCCGAUCCCUCUGUUCUCGAUAGGGUCCUCCAAGAUAAGCAUGUCAUUGAUGGCAGAACGGUUGAUGCUAAGAGGGCCUUAUCAAGAGAGGAUCAACAAGUUUCUGUCACUUCAAGAGGUGGAAAUUCUCAUUCUGGUUGGAAUUCUGGUGGAAAUGGUGGAAACACGAGGACCAAGAAGAUAUUUGUUGGAGGGUUGCCUCCCACACUGACAGAGGAAAAAUUUCGUCAAUACUUUGAGUCAUAUGGUCAUGUAACUGAUGUAGUAGUUAUGUUUGACCAGAAUACUGGACGACCACGUGGAUUUGGUUUUAUUUCAUUUGACAAUGAGGAGGCAGUUGAUAGGGUUUUGCACAAGACAUUUCAUGAUUUAUAUGGUAAGCAAGUAGAGGUGAAGCGUGCACUUCCUAAAGAUGCCAAUCCUGGUUCAACUGGCCGUGGUGGAGGUGGUGGCGCAGGAGGGUAUCAAGGGUAUGGAUCAUCUGGUGGCAGCCAGAAUGCUUAUGAUGGUCGUAUGGAUUCUAGUAGGUAUAUUCAGCCUCAAAGUGCUGCUGGUGGAUUCCCACCUUAUGGUUCUGCUGGCUAUAGUGCGCCUGGGUAUGGUUAUGGUCCAGCCAAUAAUGGCAUUGGCUACGGUGCAUAUGGAAGUUAUGGUGGUGUUGCUGCUGGGUAUGGUGGAGCUGGCAGUGCAGCUUAUGGGAAUCCAAAUGUUGCUAACGCUGCUUACACUGGUGGUGCACCUGGUGGUCCAAGGAGUUCAUGGCCUGCUCAGGCUGCUUCUGGCUAUGGGUCUAUGGGCUAUGGGAACACUGCUGCGUGGGGUGCUCCAGGUGGCGUUGCUGGAUCUGGCGGCAGUGGUCCUGGUUCAGCAACUGCAGGUCAAUCUCCUGGCGGAGCUGCUGGCUACGGGAAUCAAGGAUAUGGAUAUGGUGGGUAUGGUAGUGAUAGUUCUUAUGGGAAUCCCAGCGGAUAUGGUGCUGUUGGAGGGCGUACUGGGGGUACCCCAAAUAGUAAUUCUAGCAAUGCUGGUGGGAAUGAACUACAAGGUAGUGGUGGCAGUGGGAGCUAUAUGGGAAGUGGUUAUGGGGAUGCAAAUGGACAUUCAAGUUAUGGAAAUGCUGGUUGGAGAUCUGAACAAACUCAACGGUCUGGAAACUAUGGGACUCCUCAGGGAAAUGGCUCUCAUGGUGGGCAAGUUGGUUAUGGUGGUGGGUAUGCUGGUGCUCAGUCACGACAAGCUCAACAACAGUAAUUUUGAUGGUUAAUUUCUUGCUGCAUCUUGAAGUUCAGCUUGUGGAUCCAUGUCUUUUGAUCUUAAAUUGUGACCUCCUAUGGAUGCUUCCCGUUGCCAAAGAAUGACUCAAGUUCAAUGCAAUGCACAGUGGGACUGGAGGAGAGGUGCUCGAGUAUUGAAGGGGAGCAAGUGUCCACUCAUGGCUAAGGAUGAACGUUGGUCAGUGGUUGGUCAUGUUGUAUUUCUCUGGGCAAAUGCACCAUCAAAUUCGGAGAUUCCUGGCUUUUCAACUGAUAAAAUCAUAUAAACUUCAAUCUGGUUUGUGGUGGCAGACGGAAACCAUGAGAGGAGUGGUUUGUGGCACACUGAAAAAGGUGUUGGCUGUGACUCAUUAAUAUUUUAGCCUGAAUUUUAUGUGUCUAGUUGAUACUUAUUGUGGUGUUUUGACAGUUUUGGGUGUUCAUGCAAUGAUUAUUUCUAUGUCUAAAGCACCUUUUGUUGUGAUAAGCUAGAUAUUCCCCAUUAGAAUUCCUUCAUUAAUCAUUUCAUCUCCAAAUCCUUGAACAUAUGAUUAUGUUUCAGUUUAGUUUUUGUUUUAGUUCCGAAUGACUCACUUUCUUAUGUCAUGGGUUCUUGUUCU